UCCCUGGUGGUCUAGCGGCUAAGGAUCCUGCGCUCUCGCUGCCGUGGCCUAGGUUCAAUUCCCAGGCAGGGAA